UCGGGUUCCCCGGCAUGGGGCUGCCGGGCGCCGGUGGCACCGGCGGCGCGGACAAUCCGUUCGCCGCGAUGUUCGGUUCGAUGAACCCGAAC
rnacentral:tRNA from 1 species